GUGCUCGCUUUGGCAGCACAUAUACUAAAAUUAGAACGAUAUAGAGAAGAUUAUCAUGGCCUCUGCACAAGGAUGAUAAGCAAAUUCGUAAAGCAUUACAUAUUUAA